rnacentral:piRNA from 1 species
UCCCUAAGAUGUCUUUCUCCACCCAUUCC